rnacentral:rRNA from 1 species
AGUGAACGCUGGCGGCAGGCCUAACACAUGCAAGUCGAGCGGCAGCGCGGGGGCAACCCUGGCGGCGAGCGGCGGACGGGUGAGGAAUGCAUCGGAAUCUACCUCGUUGUGGGGGAUAACCUCGGGAAACCGGGACUAAUACCGCAUACGACCUACGGGUGAAAGUGGGGGACCUUCGGGCCUCACGCGAUGAGAUGAGCCGAUGCCGGAUUAGCUAGUUGGCGGGGUAAAGGCCCACCAAGGCGACGAUCCGUAGCUGGUCUGAGAGGAUGAUCAGCCACACUGGAACUGAGACACGGUCCAGACUCCUACGGGAGGCAGCAGUGGGGAAUAUUGGACAAUGGGCGAAAGCCUGACCCAGCCAUGCCGCGUGAAGGAAGACGGCCUUAUGGGUUGUAAACUUCUUUACUACGCGAAUAGAGGUUAGUACGAGAUACUAAUAGGAAGGUAGUGUAGUAAAAGCACCGGCUAACUCCGUGCCAGCAGCCGCGGUAAAACGUCUA